UACGGAGGGGGCUAGCGUUGUUCGGAAUUACUGGGCGUAAAGCGCACGUAGGCGGAUCAGAAAGUCAGAGGUGAAAUCCCAGGGCUCAACCUUGGAACUGCCUUUGAAACUCCUGGUCUUGAGGUCGAGAGAGGUGAGUGGAAUUCCGAGUGUAGAGGUGAAAUUCGUAGAUAUUCGGAGGAACACCAGUGGCGAAGGCGGCUCACUGGCUCGAUACUGACGCUGAGGUGAGAAAGCGUGGGGAGCAAACAGG
rnacentral:rRNA from 1 species